rnacentral:tRNA from 1 species
GCCCACCUAGCUCAGUUGGUAGAGCACGUCCUUGGUAAGGACGAGGUCGUCGGUUCAAGCCCGAUGGUGGGCUCCA